rnacentral:pre_miRNA from 1 species
UUGGGAUUUUUUAGAUCAGCAGUUAAAUAUUUACGGUUUAGACUGAGUUUAAACAAACAUUCUACUGGCCUACUAAGUCCCAAC